UAUGUGAGUGCAUUUCAAAGCCGAACACGAACCAACAUGUGCAUGUGGUUUAAAAGAAGCAGUGUUUUUUAACUCAUAACUCAAACAUCAUCAAGAUUAAAAUGGCUAGGCUAGGCUGUAACACUUCUUACAUGCAUGAAGGUUUGUCGCUGUCUUGGGGGUACAUGCACUCUCCACCGUUUUCGCAGUAUUUUUCAUGUUCACUUCUACA